rnacentral:rRNA from 1 species
GACGAACGCUGGUGGCGUGCUUAACACAUGCAAGUCGAACGGGAUUUAGUAAACAGAAGCCUCGGUGGAAGAUUACUAAUGAGAGUGGCGAACGGGUGAGUAACGCGUGAGCAACCUGCCUAUGACAGUGGGAUAGCCUCGGGAGACCGGGAUUAAUACCGCAUAAAAUCGUAGAAACACAUGUUUUAACGGUCAAAGAUUUAUCGGUCAUAGAUGGGCUCGCGUCUGAUUAGCUAGUUGGUGAGAUAACAGCCCACCAAGGCGACGAUCAGUAGCCGGUCUGAGAGGAUGAACGGCCACAUUGGAACUGAGACACGGUCCAAACUCCUACGGGAGGCAGCAGUGGGGAAUAUUGCACAAUGGGGGAAACCCUGAUGCAGCGACGCCGCGUGAACGAAGAAGGUAUUCGUAUCGUAAAGUUCUGUCCUAUGGGAAGAUAAUGACAGUACCAUAGAAGAAAGCUCCGGCUAAAUACGUG